rnacentral:lncRNA from 1 species
GUGGACCGACCCCCCACCCCCACCUCCCGGGAUUACAGCCCGGGCCAACAGACCCCCAGUAUACUGCAGGCAAAAUGAAUGAAUCGGGACUGUAAUUACCUAUUCCUUUGUCUUGGCCUCGCGCAUGCGCCGGAGAGCAGGGUGUGGAGGGCCCGGCAGCCCCAUCCCAUCUCCAUCAUCCAGCCACCCACUCCCCUCCCGAGCCGAGGAACAAAGGCGUUUGCCCUAAAUGUUGCGGGAA